rnacentral:rRNA from 1 species
AAAUUGAAGAGUUUGAUCAUGGCUCAGAUUGAACGCUGGCGGCAGGCCUAACACAUGCAAGUCGAGCGGCAGCGGGAAAGUAGCUUGCUACUUUUGCCGGCGAGCGGCGGACGGGUGAGUAAUGCCUGGGGAUCUGCCCAGUCGAGGGGGAUAACUACUGGAAACGGUGGCUAAUACCGCAUACGCCCUACGGGGGAAAGCAGGGGACCUUCGGGCCUUGCGCGAUUGGAUGAACCCAGGUGGGAUUAGCUAGUUGGUGAGGUAAUGGCUCACCAAGGCGACGAUCCCUAGCUGGUCUGAGAGGAUGAUCAGCCACACUGGAACUGAGACACGGUCCAGACUCCUACGGGAGGCAGCAGUGGGGAAUAUUGCACAAUGGGGGAAACCCUGAUG